rnacentral:rRNA from 1 species
UAGGAAUCUUCGGCAAUGGGGGGAACCCUGACCGAGCAACGCCGCGUGAGUGAAGAAGGUUUUCGGAUCGUAAAGCUCUGUUGUUAAGGAAGAACGAGUGUGAGAAUGGAAAGUUCAUGCUGUGACGGUACUUAACCAGAAAGGGACGGCUAACUACGUGCCAGCAGCCGCGGUAAUACGUAGGUCCCGAGCGUUGUCCGGAUUUAUUGGGCGUAAAGCGAGCGCAGGCGGUUAGAAAAGUCUGAAGUGAAAGGCAGUGGCUCAACCAUUGUAGGCUUUGGAAACUGUUUAACUUGAGUGCAGAAGGGGAGAGUGGAAUUCCAUGUGUAGCGGUGAAAUGCGUAGAUAUAUGGAGGAACACCGGUGGCGAAAGCGGCUCUCUGGUCUGUAACUGACGCUGAGGCUCGAAAGCGUGGGGAGCGAACAGG